GAUGAACGCUGGCGGCGUGCCUAAUACAUGCAAGUCGAGCGAACAGACGAGGAGCUUGCUCCUCUGACGUUAGCGGCGGACGGGUGAGUAACACGUGGAUAACCUACCUAUAAGACUGGGAUAACUUCGUGAAACCGGAGCUAAUACCGGAUAAUAUAUUGAACCGCAUGGUUCAAUAGUGAAAUACGGUUUUGCUGUCACUUAUAGAUGGAUCCGCGCCGCAUUAGCUAGUUGGUAAGGUAACGGCUUACCAAGGCAACGAUGCGUAGCCGACCUGAGCGGGUGAUCGGCCACACUGGAACUGAGACACGGUCCAGACUCCUACGGGAGGCAGCAGUAGGGAAUCUUCCGCAAUGGGCGAAAGCCUGACGGAGCAACGCCGCGUGAGUGAUGAAGGUAUUCGGAUCGUAAAACUCUGUUAUUAGGGAAGAACAAAUGUGUAAGUAACUAUGCACGUCUUGACGGUACCUAAUCAGAAAGCCACGGCUAACUACGUG
rnacentral:rRNA from 1 species